GACGAACGCUGGCGGCGUGCUUAACACAUGCAAGUCGAACGGAAAGGCCCUGCUUUUGUGGGGUGCUCGAGUGGCGAAAGGGUGAGUAACACGUGAGUAACCUGCCCUUGACUUUGGGAUAACUUCAGGAAACUGGGGCUAAUACCGGAUAGGAGCUCCUGCUGCAAGGUGGGGGUUGGAAAGUUUCGGCGGUUGGGGAUGGACUCGCGGCUUAUCAGCUUGUUGGUGGGGUAGUGGCUUACCAAGGCUUUGACGGGUAGCCGGCAUGAGAGGGUGACCGGCCACAUUGGGACUGAGAUACGGCCCAGACUCCUACGGGAGGCAGCAGUGGGGAAUAUUGCACAAUGGGCGGAAGCCUGAUGCAGCAACGCCGCGUGCGGGAUGACGGCCUUCGGGUUGUAAACCGCUUUCGCCUGUGACGAAGCGUGAGUGACGGUAAUGGGUAAAGAAGCACCGGCUAACUACGUG
rnacentral:rRNA from 1 species